UUAAUACUUUCUUAACGCGCUCCCAUGAAAUGACCUAGCAGAAACUUCGACAUCCUUUUUACCCUUCAUACCAUAUGGCACUCUCUCACUCUUCGCUUACUAAAUAUUCAACAUCUCUCUCUCUCUCUCUCUCGCUCGUUUUCCUCCCUCGUCUAGCAAAGUUCAAAAGUCCGAUACUACCGUAGUCAAGAUCACGUCCCAUCGAACCGGUAGAGAACGAAAUAAAAUAAUGGAGCCCUACUAAAGUCUCUUGAGUAAAUGCUAUCAAGUUAUAUGACAAUUAAUAGGGAAGUGCAGAGGCGGCGUUAUUACACCGGCCGAUAUUAUAUCAGUAGCGUUUACAUCUAUCGUAUUCCUCUCUUCGUAUACGAAGUCAAAGCAUUUUCAUUUCAGCCCGCAAGAGUAAGAGAGAUAGAGAAAGGAGGGAAGAAGAAAGGCGAGAAAAAACAAAGAGUAAAAAAAUAGGAUUUCACGCUUGGCUGACUAAUGAAAACGGGCGAUGCUGUCUACUGCGACUCGAUUAUCCUCCACCAAUUAAAGCUACAAAUUUAGACUUUCCAUAUUCAUUUAAUCCGUAGCCGUUGGCUGGUUAUCUACAUUGGUCGCGAAGAUCCCAGAGGGAAAAGUAUACGUUGCCGGAGUGCACUCAAUAUUCAUCUUGUUAAUUGAUAAAACGAGUACAGUUAUGAGUUUAGAAAUGUAAAUUCUUUAAGGUACCCGGAUCGUUGCCUUUCGUCUGAGCUCCAUGAAAUAAAAGGUUUUUAUGUAUGCUGUACACGACGCAGCCAAUAAGGUUACCCCUAAUGGCCGCCAUGAUGUUAAACUCGGUAAGAGACUAUAGCACUAUAUACGUACUAGACGAGAUAUUUGAUAUGUAGCAGAGCUUAAACAGUGCGGAAAAUACAUGAACGAUUACUCCCGUACAAACGGGGUCGUUAACGAUACAAACGGGCUCUUAAUCUGGAAAAAAGCACUUCGUUCCCUUCGUGCAUUUACCACCUCGUUUUCCACUGCGAAGCUAAUUAUUCUCGAAAGCCAACCCGUUGACGUUUUUUUUUCCUCCGGUUCUCCUAUGUCCCGGUUUUUUUGGUUAAACCUCCACUAUCCCUUUAUUCCCUUUUGUUAAAGCGGUAUUACCGCAGUGCGCUCCUUUUGUUUUCUCUGUUCCAAGUAACGACUUGCCUCCGGUAACGUUGCUACCGUCCCAAUAAAUACAGUCCGGACAAGGUAACCGAGGUAAAGGGAACGUACCGAAGAUCCUCGCCGAGCUUGUCACUCACUUUUGGUACUGUGCCCGCACAUCAGAGAUGCCAAUGGAAUGAAAGUGGUAACGGAAGAGCAAUGACCGAGCCAAUGUACGACAACUACAGGAGAGGAAUCGUAUCUCGUCCGGACGAGUACAUAUGUAUACGUUAUACUGUCCGUCCUGAGUAAAUCUUGAUUACAGUCCGACACCAAGGAAUUGGAUGGGACAAUAACAUAAGGUGACAGAUAGCCAUAUACUUGCAUACGUACAAUACAGUUUCGAGAAAAGGAAUUUUUAAGGUUAGAAGAGAAAAAGUAAAAGGAAAAGAGACACGAGCAAGACGAAACAGUAAACAUUCGUAGAAAGGUGAACGAUACCGGGUUCUCGCUAACGAGACGAAAACUGGUCAAACGACUAUUGUUAGACCGUGGUAGUUGGUCUAGAAGGUAGUGCACAGGAGAAUUGCUUUUGUACUCGUAUGUGGUACUUGGAACGUGCCCGAGCAUAUACGCACAAACUUACACGCACCUGCGUACAAUAAUAGGGACGAUCAUCCUGAAGAGGAUUCUCGUCAAUUCGAUGAUUGGAAACCGGCUUGAUGGAAGUACACAUUAUAUACAGCAGGUCCACAUGUUCCAGCUGUCCGAAAUGUUGACAGGAUCCCAUCCUCCGGGCGAAUGGGGUUGUCCAAAAACCCGUGGCCAUUCAAGAGAACGAGGAUCAGGAACAACAGAGGGAAUGUACAAGGACAGUUAAAGCGCCUGGAUAAGGGUGACCCUUCGUCCCAUUUUCGUAUCGCAGGUUAAAUAAAAGCCAGUUAUCAUGAUAUAUUUUUCAGUGGCACCACUUCCUGGCAAAGAGAUGCCACAAGUGCCAUGGAUUAUACAGUUAUAAAAAAUGAGAAAGGAACCAAGCUCUGGUAUAAAGCAUCCUCAAGAUUUUUACUUUAUAAAAAAAAAAAAAAAAAAAAAAAUGAAAGAGAAAAAUCACCCCACUUUCUACCGGCAAGGAUCCUCGAAAUGCAUGACGGCGUCUAUCGGACGUGCGCAUGAGAAAAUUCUUUUUAAUUAGAGCAGUCCUCCAGUUAAAGCAUACAAAGUUAUUUUUAUUCUUACCGUGCAAGCGAAGCUGCGCGAGUGAGAGAUGAAGACAAAGAGAUGUGUUGAAGGAUGAAGCAAAUGGAGAAGACCAAAGAGAAGGAAGCAUGUGUGUCAGUGCCUUAAUAUAUAUCAUCUCCAUGUGCAUGUUACGUACUAAGGACGAGUACAUAGCCAUAUAUACCCCAUAGUACAUGGAGAGUGAAUCUGUGAACUACCGCAUGUUUACAAGUAUAUAAUAUAUACAUGGUCGGUAAGAAAAUCGGUAAAGGGAUGUCGUUCCUCAAAAACGCACACGUGGAGCGCAGCUUUCACACUGUCCUCGUCUGGAGUGAAUCUUUACCACCGGCUAAGGAUUAUCCGGCCCAGCAAGAGAAUCAUAUGUAAAAGACUGAAAAGCAGCUCAGGCUCUGGCUUGGCGUACAAGUUUUAGUCGCCAUCCGUAGCAAAAUAAUACAUCCGAUAUAGAGCCUGAGUACUGUUACAAACUGAGUCGUCAUCCACGAUAAAGUGGGGAACGUAUAUCCGUAAAGAUAUUUCAAAUGUCUGCACGACUAACGUUAAUCCAAGGGGAAACGCCGAGAUAGAAUUUUUUUUUCAAGUAUUUUUGUUAGUAUCGAUUAAACCAUCCUGUUUCAUCUCGUCGGGAGCUCUAUGGGUAUAUAUGGGCUGUGGGAAUCCGUUUGCAUUUUUCAUAGAACCACAGGAUUUUUCAUCGUUCCCCGGAUGAAUUACGCGAUAUAGAAUUUUACUCGGUACGUCGCACUUUUUCAUUUCAAUCUGCCGUUUCAAACUCUGCCAGCUCUUUCCUUUUAUUUUGCCUUUUUCUACCUUCUAUCUAUGGCUCUGCUGUUGGCUCUAUGUCCGUUACCCAUAGUCUGUUCUCUUUCACUCAUUUUUAUUUUGAAUCUCUCACUCUUCCACCAUCAACCAUUUUUUUUUCAUUUAUCUAUUUUUUAUGCAGCUGCUGCUUCACUAGACGUGCUACCUCAUAUAAUGCUCGCCGUACACAUGCAAGGGAGUGAACUGUAACAUCAUAAUAUGACAGACAGUAGCUAUGAAAGAUGCAAUUUCCUGUUUAAAAUACAUACAUAGCUCUAUUGACAAAACUAUAGAGAUGGAAGCUUAUUAGAAUGAUUAUGAACCUAGAAAAUGAGAUCUCAUGGGAAAAUCAAGCUUGUCCGAAUGAUGUUUCGCGCAUCAAGGUCAAUUCACACUGCGUGCCCUGCAGUUGUUCGUUAUAUUUAGAUGGUGAUUACUGUAGUGCGUUAUUUAAAUAAGCGGUAAUCGCUUCGCGAAGAAUACUAAGGGGAGAAGAGUUCGAGGCUAAAUUGCCAAUGGCUUCGGCGGUAUCAAGGAUCGGGCGAUGGUAUACAUUUACAUACUAUAUAUAUAUAUAUAUAUAUAUAUAUAUAUAUAUAUGCAAAUAGAUACGUUUCAAUCGUAAAUCACUCGCCCUGCUUGGAAUAAUGAAUAUGCCGCGCUUCUGCGAUCGAUUAAAACUAUAUAUGGAGGCGACGAUUAAAAUGUUUGUCUAGCCACUAACUCUUUUUUUUUGUACCGCCAAAUUAAUCCCUGCAGGCGUUCACCGGCCAGACCUUUUGAAUCAUACUGAAAUUGUAUCACUCUGUUUCAGUUAAUGCAACGUCCAAAACAGCUGUUGAGGACAGUAAACUUUUGAGUAAAAUUUCGUUGAAAAGGUUGCAAGAGGUUACCGUUUUAGGAGUCGUCGUAAACCCAGAAGGUCGGGUCACCGCGUCACACUUCCG